rnacentral:rRNA from 1 species
GGCUUCGGCCGCAAGUAGAGUGGCAAACGGGUGAGUAACACGUGGGUGACCUGCCUUCGAGUGGGGGAUAACGUCUCGAAAGGGACGCUAAUACCGCAUAACAUCCCGCCUUUGGACAGGCGGAGAUCAAAGCCGGGGACCGCAAGGCCUGGCGCUUGGAGAGGGGCCCGCGCCGGAUUAGCUAGUUGGUGAGGUAACGGCCCACCAAGGCGACGAUCCGUAGCCGGCCUGAGAGGGCGGACGGCCACACUGGGACUGAGACACGGCCCAGACUCCUACGGGAGGCAGCAGUGGGGAAUUGUUCGCAAUGGGCGCAAGCCUGACGACGCAACGCCGCGUGGAGGACGAAGAUCUUCGGAUCGUAAACUCCUGUCGAGCGGGACGAACGGCCCGGGACCCAACACGUCUCGGGAGUGACGGUACCGCUAAAGGAAGCCCCGGCUAACUCCGUGCCAGCAGCCGCGGUAAUACGGGGGGGGCCAGCGUUGUUCGGAAUUACUGGGCGUAAAGCGUGCGCAGGCGGUUUUGUAAGUCAGAUGUGAAAGCCCCGGGCUUAACCUGGGAAUGGCGUUUGAAACUACAAGGCUAGAGUGUGUCAGAGGGGGGUAGAAUUCCACGUGUAGCAGUGAAAUGCGUA